rfam:Triticum aestivum genome assembly, contig: Triticum_aestivum_CS42_TGACv1_scaffold_580313_7BL
UCUGAUGAUGUGUCGCCUAUCAUUUGGAGGUGCAGAUGGCUUUGGGAUCCUGUUUACAAGAUGAACAUACCUGGAGGCACUGUAUCCACAUGACAUUGACGAGCAAGUCUAAGG